AUGUGAGUUUAUUUGAUCACUUUUUCCACCCUGGGUAUCUCACAGUGUCCCAUACCAGAGCAAACAGUGGUCCUGAACCAUUGCCUGGCCUCUGCCCAUGGGCUACAGGCACUGAAGUAGGUUGCACAGUG